rnacentral:lncRNA from 1 species
CAGGGUGGAACUGCUGAAAUCCCAUAAACUGGACUCUUCAAAGGUGCAGAUGCACCUGUCUUAUUAAGCAACACCUUCAAUUCAACACCUUCCUGCCUCUUAGGGACUUUGUAUCCCACAGAUAUGUUUUUUAAUCCCAUUAAAAAAAAAAAAAAAAAAAAAAAAAGAAGAAGAAGAAGAAGAAGAGUGUAGUAAUCUUCAUCCGCCUCGAGGCGGGAAAGCGAAUGAGCGCUACAUUUCAUAAUGCUCUGAAAAAUACGAAGUGAAACCCUGUUGCCAAAACAUUCUCCUAGGUGUGGAAAACCUUAUUUCUUGGCGGCUUAAAGGGACAGUGGAAAGAGGGGCGGUGGAGGGUGGGAAGAAAGGGUGAAACUGACCCUCGGAGCUCCGCGGGCUGUGGCGGACCCGUGCAGGCUCCCGCUCCCUCCGCAGCCCGGUGCUGCCGGCGCUGCGGGGCGGAGCGGCCGCGCACGGAAACCCGGCCGGGAAGAGCCGCCUUGUUCCCUGCCUUGUUCCCCGCCGUGUUCCCCGUUCCCCGAGCUGUUCCCGCAUACACACCGGGCGGCUGGAGCGGGAGAGCCUCCUCCACAUGCCGGGAAUGCCGGGGAGCAGGCCCGGCGGGGAAGCGCCGCCCCGGAGCGCGGGAAGGAGAGUGGCCGAGCUGCUCCCUCACGCAGGGCAGGGUGGAAAGAGUCAGCACAUCUCUCUUACCUACAGUACAGCUGGCUCUCUGAUCUGCACUUAAUCUGACCCAAGAUAGCUGUAAGCAGGUGAUCCUCCACUCAUGUUAUUAUCCUGUUUCUAAUGGCCAUUACAUUUCAUUUCCUACAUUACCUUAUACUAAGUGGAAUACUUAGGCUUCCUAAAGUAGUUAGGACUGAAUGAUAGAUCUGUAACUGAAGUGAUUUAUUUGCCUGUUACUGUAAUUCUUAGAGAGCAAUCCAGGCAUGAAAAGGGGAGGUAAAAGAGAGGACAGGGUAACUUUUAUUUAAAAAAAAUAUAGUAAUUUAGGUCUUCAUGUUACAUUUAGAUAAAAUUUCUGGAAAUUGAUGCUAUUUGAAAAAGAGAGCAUCUCUGAGCUAACUCUUGAGCUCACUUUUGCAUGGCCAUAUCCACAGGAGAGAGCUGGGGAUUCAGAAACAUUGUAUGGGAGACAUGGAUAAAGCGCUGGAUCUACACCUUGUUAAUCAAAGCAUCACCUAAUCUGGACAGCUGGAAGUGCAGCACUGAGGGCUAUAUUUUAAGAUUAUUAAAUAAAACGAGUCUCGAGUCUCUUGGGGUUGCAUAAGUCUCAACCUGUU